CAUGGCUCAGAUUGAACGCUGGCGGCAGGCCUAACACAUGCAAGUCGAGCGGAUGACGGGAGCUUGCUCCUUGAUUCAGCGGCGGACGGGUGAGUAAUGCCUAGGAAUCUGCCUGGUAGUGGGGGACAACGUUUCGAAAGGAACGCUAAUACCGCAUACGUCCUACGGGAGAAAGCAGGGGACCUUCGGGCCUUGCGCUAUCAGAUGAGCCUAGGUCGGAUUAGCUUGUUGGUGAGGUAAUGGCUCACCAAGGCGACGAUCCGUAACUGGUCUGAGAGGAUGAUCAGUCACACUGGAACUGAGACACGGUCCAGACUCCUACGG
rnacentral:rRNA from 1 species